GUAUUGGUCCACUGAGCAGGAAGGGGGCAGGGGUUACAGACCCAGCACAUGCACGCACACAGAAGCAUAAGGGAGGUGCGAGUUUAAGAGAGUGAGGGUGAGAGAGAAAGAGAACAGCCACUGCACAGACAACAAGCUGGGAAGAGCGGCAGUUUGUGCUCACAGAUGGUGACGGUGUGGAGAGACGGUGGUGUUUCCUCAGAAGAACCAGCAGAGUCACAAAGGACACCAGUCCAUCUCACCACCUUGACUUGCUGACUGAUGCUCGUCUGCACUGCACAGAGGAAAUCAACUGACUGAG
ensembl:lncRNA